AGAGUUUGAUCCUGGCUCAGGAUGAACGCUAGCUACAGGCUUAACACAUGCAAGUCGAGGGGAAACGACAUCGAAAGCUUGCUUUUGAUGGGCGUCGACCGGCGCACGGGUGAGUAACGCGUAUCCAACCUGCCCACCACUUGGGGAUAACCUUGCGAAAGUAAGACUAAUACCCAAUGACGUCUCUAGAAGACAUCUGAAAGAGAUUAAAGAUUAUCGGUGAUGGAUGGGGAUGCGUCUGAUUAGCUUGUUGGCGGGGUAACGGCCGCCAAGGCUACGAUCAGUAGGGGUUCUGAGAGGAAGGUCCCCCAAUUGGAACUGAGACACGGUCAACUACCUACGGAGGCA
rnacentral:rRNA from 1 species